rnacentral:rRNA from 1 species
AUUGAACGCUGGCGGCAGGCCUAACACAUGCAAGUCGAACGAGUGGCGGACGGGUGAGUAAUGCCUGGGAAACUGCCUGAUGGAGGGGGCUCACUACUGGAAACGGUAGCUAAUUACGCAUACCAUCUGAUUUGCCCAGGUGGGAUUAGCUGGUUGGGGGGGUAACGGCUCACCAAGGCGACGAUCCCUAGCUGGUCUGAGAGGAUGACCGGCAACACUGGAACUGAGACACGGUCCAGACUCCUACGGGGGGCAGCAGUGGGGAAUAUGGCACAAUGGGCGCAAGCCUGAUGCAGCCAUGCCGCGUGUAUGAAGAAGGCCUUCGGGUUGUAAAGUACUUUCAGCGGGGAGGCGUUACCCGCAGAAGAAGCACCGGCUAACUCCGUGCCAGCAGCCGCGGUAAUAC